AGAAAAAGAGGUGUGUUCUGUGGGUGCAAGGCUGGUGUCCCCAGCAUCUUCUGAUAACGGAAAUGAAGAAAGCAAGUAAGGGUUGGGGGUUUCCUCUGGCCUUCCCACCUGGUCUCUGUACCCUCCCCCCAUCCCUCUGGCCUUCUUCCUCAGGAACAAUUGACAGAGCCUCUGGAAAAUGCAUGUGGAUGAGGGCAUUGAUGGGAGGACACUCUAAAUCUUCCCACCUGUCCCUUAGCUGCCUUCCUCGUCUCUGGUUGGGGUUCACUCGGGGUUCCAAAGAGCACGUGGGGGAAAUUUGAGAGCUUCCUCACCUGUGACCAGGAGCUUCACAGGCUCACUGGGGAAAGACCAGGCGUGGUUGUUAUAAGAGCCAAAGCAUCUGUAUGUCCCUCUGUGGGCUGUGCUCACAGGGCCCACGGGGAACCCCACCUGGGUGUUCCCGUAUCUGGGCUGUGGGCGGCUGGAUCUUCCCUCCUUGAGCAGAAAGAACAUGUUUGUUGCAGUCUCUAGACGGCAAUAGAAGGUCACAUUGUCUCCUGAGCUCACCUCAGGCCUGGGAUGAACAGAGAGGGUGGGUGUGUCAUACAUUUCUGUGGGAGAAGGAGACAGGUAGGUUAAAAGUCAUUAUCCCGCUUCCCAUAGCUCCCAUCCCCCCUUCGCCUUAAGACUGGGACGUCACUCGCCGCAAUCUCUCUCUCUUCUGUUUUGGUCAUGGACACACCCUCCCCGAUGUCUCCCUUCAAGACUGAGACACUCCCUCCUCCAGAUUUCAGGAGCAUUAAUAUGAAUCUCUCUCUGGGAAUUGCCCCACGUCAGUGGUUCUGAGUUAGAGAUCCUUGGGUCCAGUGACAUCAGCAUCGCCUGGAAGCUUUUUUUUUUUUUAGAAAUGCAGAUCACCAGGCUCCACCCCAGACCCGCUGCAUCAGAAACUCAGGGGUAGGGCAGCCAUCUUUGUUUUUAAAAACUAUUAUUGUUUUCAAUUGUUAUAAAAUACACAUAACAUAGCAUUUACCACCUUAACCAUUAAAAAAAAUUUUUUGAUAUUUAUUUUUGAGACAGAGAGAGACAGAGCACAAACAGGGGAGGGUCAGAGAGAGAGGGAGACACAGAAUCCAAAACAGGCUCCAGGCUCUGAGCUGUCAGCACAGAGCUCCGUGCAGGGCUUAGAACCCACGAACCAUGAGAUCAUGACCUGAGUCGAAGUCGGACACUUAACCGAUUGAGCCACCUAGGCGCCCCUCCCCACAUCUUAACCAUUUUUAAGGGUACAGUUCAGUGGCACUAAGCACAUUCACAUCGCUUUGUGUAGGCAUCCUCACCAUCGGUCUUCAGAAAUCUUUUCAUCUUGCAAAUCUGAAACUCUGUCCCCGUUAUUAAACACCAUCUCCCCAUCCCCGUCCCCCAGCCUCUGACAGCCACCAUUCUGCUUUCUGUCUCUAUGUAUUUGACCAUCCUGGGUCCUAUACGGAAGUGGAACCAGACAGUAUUUGUCCGUGUGUGACUAUCUUAUCUCACCGAGCGUAAUAUCCUCAAGGUUCAUCCAUAUUGUAGCAGGUGUCAGAAUUUCCUUCCUUUUUAAGGCCAAACAAUAUUCCGUUGUGUGUAUAGACCACAUUUUGUUUAUCUGUUCCUUGGUCAAUAGACACUGGGGUUGUUGCUACCUUUUGGCCACUGUGAAUAGGGCUUUGGUGCACAUGGGUGCACUAAAGCCAUCUGUGUUAUCAUGGACCCUCCAAGUGAUUCUGAUACCUGCUUAAGUGGGAGAAUGGCAUCCCUCACCUUCCUUAACUGAGACAGCCUUCCCUCCCAACUCCAUUCUAUCUGGUCUUUUUCCAUACCGUUAUUUCCUCCUCAUGUGCUUAUAAUUGAUAGAUUUACCCUAAACUUGACUCAUGGUCUGUCUUCUCCCGCUAGAAAUCAAGUGCCACAAAAGCAGAUGUUUGCAUGGAACCCCCAUAGGAGGGGUUCUCAUCCACUCCCUGGUUGACCCUGGUGGGUACAGAGCCCCUAGCCUCAGUUCGAGACUGCUAGGAAGGGCCAUCCCGGGUCCGGAGUUCCACAUUGGUUUGGCUGAGAUGUCGGUUGAAACCACCCCAGGGUCCACCUUCGCCUUCUGUCCAGCCUGUUUCCCUCACUUUUCAUCACAGGGGUCACUUUUGAGGAUACUCCCCAGAUACAUGCAAACAUCCAUCUCAGAACAUCUCACCUGGAGAGCCUGACCUAUGACAAAUCCGCUCCUAGACCACAGAUAACCAAGGAGUGAGGUUUGGAUGACACUAAAGGAGAUUAAUAAAUGAUGACCUUCCCCGGGAUUCAGGCUUGGGGGAUGACCACAGAUAGAGGAUGGGACAUUUACCUGUUACCACCAGGUCCAGAGGGUCACUAGGAUUUGACCAGAGCUCCCCGCUUCGGUAAAUGCACCUGUAUUGCCCUGCAGUGAGCAGGGUCAUGGCUGAGAUGGGGAAUGAGACUAUGUUCCUUAUUCCAGGCUGUCUUGGGCUCUGCCGGGCAGAGAGGCGUCCCUCGAAAUACAGCUGGUACUCAGUGGCCUCAGGAAUCCCCUGGCAUAAGAUCUUUACUGGCCUUCCCUUCGGAAUCAUGAAAUUGGGCUUGGCCCAGAUGAUGGGUUUUGAGAGAAUCUCUGUAAGGGGAUCAGAGGCAGGAGUUCUACAUAAAGCCCCUUCCCACCCACAUUUCCACCCGGUUGCUGGCCUCAAGCCUUCCUAGCAAACCAGAGCCCCUGUCCCCUCCUCCGGUUGCUUGUAGGUGGAUACUUAGCCUGAGCCCAGAAAAGAGACCCUGGGGCUCUGACGGAGGGACUCACGUGUCUGGGCGCCGAUGGUCUGGCUCAGAUACAGCCCUGGAAGACAGGAACAGUGAGCCAUGCCACCCCACCCAUGUCCAGACCCAGGAUUGUGUCUCCCUCUCAGGAGAGAACUCACCAAGGCAGAGCAGGGCAGUGAAUGUGGAGGUCAUAGCCUAGAUUCUUCCAGACGAAUGUGGAGAUGGAGGCCAGCAGGCCAGCAGGCCAGGAAGAUGCCACAGGAUGUGGUGGGUAAAGCCUAGCACUAAUUGCCAUGGGGCUUUCACCUGACCUUUUUUUUUUUUUUUAAACAAGAGUAGGUUCACGGUUUUCCCUCUACCUCUGACCAUGAGGUAUAAAGACACAUCUGAUCAUAUCUGUGGUCUAACCAGAUCCUCUGACAGUUGUGUGCCCCACCUGAAACUCAUUCGUUUCAGGGCCCACUUCUAAAAUCUGAAAUGUGGACAUUACACCCAGGGAAGGCAGAAGACGAUGUACAGAGAAGAAACCUUAGAAUCAUUUAAAAAAUAUGUGUUUAGGGGCACCUGGGUGGCUCAGUCGGUUGAGUGUCCAACUUUGGCUCAGGUCAUGAUGUCACAGUCUGUGGGUUCUAGCCCUGCAUCGGGCUCUGUGCUUAUAGCUCAGAGCCUGGAGCCUACUUCAGAUUCUGUGUCUCCCUCUCUCUCUGCUCUGCCCCCGCUCAUGCUCUGUCUGUCUGUCUGUCUCUCUCUCAAAAAUAAAUCAACAUUAAAAGAAAGUUUUUUUAAAUAUGUGCUUAGCCUUGGCUCCCCUCUGUUUGUUGUGCAUGUGCUUGGGAAAGUUCAUUGGUGUCAUCAGAAUGGAAUGAUAACACUAUCUUCUCCAAAGUUUCAUUACGAUGUUUCAACAAAAUGCUGUUUUUUAAAUGAAAAUGUCCUGUUUUUUACAUAAGUAUAUUCCUUUAGUCUGUUAUAAAGCAGAAAUUAAAUAUUAAAAUAUUUAACAUUUUAACAUAUUUUGAAAUUCAAAAUGUGUUCAUAUUUUUCCCUCCAAAGGUCUAAACGAUGUUUGAAAAUGAAAUGUUAUGCCAAUUUAUGUCGUGCCUUACAUUCUAUGAGGAGAUCUCUCUCAAUCUGGUAUCUUUUGUUCUUCUUUCUUGAUUUUGUGGUUGAACAUAUUCCAUUCACUUUCUUAUUUAUAUAUAGCAAAAUCCACUCUUUUCCUGUUCAGUUCUGUAUGAGUUGUGAUAAACGUAUACCGUCAUGUAACCGACACCUAAGUCAAAAUGUAGGACAGUUUCGCCCUCAUAUAAGUGGUGUCAGUAGUGUUUGUCCUUGUGUGUCUGACUUAUCUCACUUAGCAUGGUGUCCUCUGGGUUCAUUCCUGUGGUUGCAAAUGACAGGAUUUCUAUUCCAUUCUUUUCUGUGGCCUCCAGUCCUCAGCUCCAAAUUCCAGGACCCCUCUUCUCUAGCCAGCCAACGUUCACCCAUGCUCCCCUGUCUAGAUGGUCUCCACCAAAAUAUCCUUAUAACGUUUGGAGGAAAGGCACUGUCCUCAUGUGCCUAUAACAUCUUUCUCUUGGGUAAAGAAAAGAUCAAGCGAGAUGAUUACUGUUGAUUGACAUGGUAGCUCGCACAUCCAUUCUUGGGCAGAUUCUGACCUACAAUCGGUAGCUCUCCUCUCCCUGUGAAAAGGUCAUGUACUGGAUUGCCACUGUCUUGUCUUCCCAUAGAGGAUUUGCCAAGGACACAGUUGGGGGCUUCUUCCAGCUGACUUCCUGUGUUGCAUCAUUUAGGGAACUUAGCCUCGAUAGACUUACAGGAAGAAUGGGUGCAGAAGAAGCAGUGGGUGGGGACCAAGGGCCACCUACCGGAAUGUUUACAUUGACCACAUUUCUAGAGAGAGAACACAGCCUAUGCAUGUGAGAAACCUGGCUAUGUGCUAUGGAUUUUUUGUUUUUAAGUCACUCUUGGCUUGUGGAAACGUUUAGAUACCAAAGCAUGGGAGAGGGAGGGCAGUGGUUGCUAGCCCACAGGAGACAAUGAGGCAGGCUCAUCUGUAGAUGACAAAGAUGUCUCUAGGCCAAGAGGGCAUCUUGUCUCACCUGUCUUCCAUGAUACAUCUUAAUUUGCUCAUCAUUGUCAGCCUAAAGUCCAUCCAUAGCAUGAAGGUAAGGCUCCUGAUGAAUGGGUCCCUGCGUCAGGAAAGAGGUGGUCAUCCUUUGGGGACAAAGUGACCAGGGGUAGAGAAGUAGUUCUCUUGGAAUUGUGAAAGUUCUGCUACCCCUUGCUUCAGAGAUUUCUAGAUUCUCUUCAAGAGGCUGGUUGCCUGAUAACAUGUUCCUUUGAAAUUAUUUUCAAAGUUGGAGGGAACUCCCUGGGAUUGAAGUCAACCUGCUGGCACCAGAGAGGAUCAGGCUAACAUCUCCAUGGCAUGGCCCUAGUUGGGGUGGGAUCUGGACUUUAGAGAAUGGGUCUAGCCUCAGUUUCCUGAUGGGCUUCCUCUCUACUUACUAUUUUAAUAAUUUACACAUGCAUAAUGACAGUUCUAUAUCUCAAGUGUUUUGGCGUGCUAGUUCUCCCCUUAUAUGUUGAGGGUUCUUUGUUUCUUCACGAAGUUCGCAAUAUUUUAUUGCUGGUCAUUUAUGGGUCAACUUUUUGCAAAUUGUGGUAAAAUAUAUAUAACCAAAUUUUAUCAUUUUAACUACUUUUUUAUUGUAGCAAAAAAAAUACAUAACAUGAAAUUCACCAUCUUCACCAAGUCUAAGUAUACAGUUCAGUAGUGUGCAGUACGUUUCAUUUUUAAGUAAUCUCUACACCCAAUAUGGGGCUCAAACUCACAACCCUGAGAUCAAGUGUUGCACACUCCACUGCUGAGCCGGCCAGGCGCCCUUCAAAUCAUAUCAUUUCUAAGCCUCUGUUUGUUCAUGUGACACAUGGAUUGAUUAAAAUAAAAUUCACAGGGCUGUAGUAAGCUUUUGUAAAUGAAAUAACAUAAAGCCCAACAUAGAGGUGAAGGUCAUGAAAUGUAAGUCCUCAUACUCUUUUCCCCAAGCCACGCCUUCCAUUUAACCUAAAUCAGCCCAAUAUAUGAACUAUCAAAGGUAAAUGCACUCACCAUUCAGUGCCUGGAAUAAAAAAGGCAAAGCAGAAUUUAUUUUUACUCUGUUAAGGGAGUUAUGCUGGCUAGACAUGAUGCCUCUGAGUCUCUGAGCAGAGCCUACAGGGUUUUUGGGAAAUAUGGAUUCUCAGGGCCUCUUGUGGAUUGGCAUCAUCUGUAAAAUAUGUUUAUUGAAGGGGGACUUUAUUUUAUUUUAUUUUUUUAUUUUUUAAAAUUUACAUCCAAAUUAGUUAGCAUGUAGUGAAACAAUGAUUUCAGGAAUAGAUUCCCUAAUGCCCCUUACUUAUUUAGCCCAUCCCUGCUCCGACAAUCCCUCCAGUAACUCUUUGUUCUCUGUAUUUAAGAGUCUCUUAUGUUUUGUCCCCCUCCCUAUUUUUAUAUUAUUUUUGUUUCCCUUAUGAAGGGUUGGCUGUCACUCACAGGUGCAGUUACUGAAGUAAAUCCGUUUCUGAUUGGCUGACAUUUAGAAGCAAGGAGCUGAUUGGUUGAAUCACCAGGGCGUUUUUCAUUGAGGGGAGUGGUCAUUGCUGAUGGGUGAAAAACUGGUUCCGGCGGCUUUUUGUCAUCAUGGCUACCAGACAACGUAGUCUUUUUCUAGGAGGGGAGGGUCUUUUUAUUCCCAGGUUUACAGUAUGCUUUUCCACGCAAGGCCCUGGUGUGGACACAACCAAGUGUGUGAGGUUGAUCCUAUCUCUCUGUGGAAUCAAAUCUCAUUGCAUCUCUCAGGUCCAAAUCCUGGCUCUGAUGUAAAGUCUCUGAUUAGCCUUCCUCUGAAACUGUGGCACUUCCUCAUGGUUUUAUCUAGCCCAAUAUCUAACAUGUCCUUCAUCAACUUAUUUGUUCAUAAUCUCAAUAAAUAUUUCCAGUAUUUUAUGUUUUGCAUACCUCACAAUAGAUACUACAAAGAGAUGAUUUGAUAGACUAAGCAGCUCAAAGGACUGAGAUAACCCAGAGGAGAUGCUUGUUGGGGCUGUUUUCACAAGUCUAUCAACUUUGCAUUGGAGGCAUGAGACGUCUUGAAAUGUUAGUUUCAUAAGAACAGGAAAGUCUUUUUAACAACAGGGAAAGCAUGUGUUAAUACGCAAAUGUCAUCGUAGGGAAAACUAGAAGCACUCAUGUCAUGGGAAAUAUGGUAUGUUGAAUGGACAGUAUUAAUAAUUAAUUGGUGGUAUUAAUAAUUAAUGGCAUUCUGAAUGUUAAGGUCUUACCUAGGAGGAUGUAAGGGUACCUGGUUUGGCUGAUAAAUUCAAGACAGAUUAAAGUCUUGAGCCAGACCUUCUGUAGAGGCUGGAAAAAAAGUCAGGAUUGAGAACUAGAAAUACUUUGAAUAAUUUUUAUCACAGACAAGACUGUACCGAGGAUUUUAUCACCAAAUCUAGAAAAGUGGUGUACAACUGUAUUAGAUACAUAUAAGAAAAUACGAUUGGAUUGGUUUGAAAAUGGAUCCAAAAUUGUCAGUGCCUCUUUCUCCCUUAUGUUCUCCCAGUAGUUCUGUAGGGCUCCACAAGUGCUGACUCAUUUCUCUUUCAGUGACAGGUGGCUACCUGGUGUCUCUUAAGGCUUUGUCCAAAGGUCCAGUCUGACAUUUGUGUUUACUCCGGCUCAGUUCAGGAAAAUCUGGCCAGUCUUCCUUGUUUGGAACCUUAUGGCUGUGCCAAUUUCCAAUGACUAUGGCCAAGAGAGCCACAAGGACCAGUCCUGCCACGCCCAUUCGGAUCAAAUUCUCCAUUGUGUAAUCUUGGUUCAUUAUAUCUGUGGACAUAAUUCAAAGGAGAUGAGCAAUUAUUGGUCAUGUUCCGUUUCAUCCCAACACAGAGCCCUGAAAAGGAGCUCAUUUCCCUAUUUGUUCUUCCACUAAACCCCCACCCUCAAUAAGCUCAUGCAUUCACGAGUGCCAUACUUAGUCUGUGAGCCUGGAUCCAAGGGGCAUCUUAUGAACAGGAAAGGAGGUGAUUAUGGGGAUGUUGUGUUGGCUCUUGAAUCCCUCUUCAUGUAGUAAUUUCCCUCAAAGUCUAGUCAAAGCCUUGCAGUCAAAUGUUCUGCUGCUGAGCUAUAUCCCCUACAUGCACCCCAAUGUUUAUAGAAGCACAAUCAAUAAUAGCCAAAGUAUGGAAAGAGCCCAAGUGCCCAUUGACUGGUGAAUGGAUACAAAGAUGUGGUAUAUAUAUAUACAAUAGAAUAUUACUCAGUGAUAAAAAAAAGAAUGAAAUCUUGCCAUUUGCAACAACAUAGAUCCAACCAAAGUGUAUUAUGCUAAGUGAAAUGAGUCCAUCAGAGAAAGACAAAUAUCGUAUGAUUUCAUUCAUAUAUGGAAUUUAAGAAACACAAAAGAUGAACAUAUAGGAAGGAAAGGAAAAAUAAGAUAAAAACAGAGAGGAGGCAAACUAUAAGAGACUCUUAGAUACAGAGAACAACCUGAGUGUUGCUGGAGAGGAGGUUGUGGGGCGGGGUGGUGAGCCAAAUGGGUGAUAGACAUUAAGGAGAACGCUUGUUGGGAUGAGUAUUGGGUAUCAUAUGUAAGUGAUGAAUCAUUGGGUUCUACUCCUGAAGCCAAGACUACAAUGUAUGUUAACUACCUUGAAUUUAAAUAAAUAAAUUAAAUUUAAAAACCCACAGCCUUGCAACACAUUCAUGUAUUCAGAAUAGUACAUUUUCUCUACACUUUCCUCACCCCACAUAACAAUUUGUGUUCCUCUUCCAUGUGUGACAAAGGAUAUGGUAUGGUUGGUAUCUGGGAAGUAGCUAGGAGAAAGUCUUCAGAUAAUCUUUGGUAAAAUUUAUCUCCACUCUUGUGUGACUGUUCACUAGACAUUGCUGUUCUCUGAAACUUUAAAAAAAUUUUCUUCAUUUGUUAUAUGGGCUUCAUAGGCCUAUGUGCCAGGAAUUAAUAAAGUACUGUGAGAUUACAAUGCUCAUAAAUUGUAGUAACUCUCUCUGGUUAAAAUACAGAAAUUAGGGGCACCUGGGUGGCUCAGUCGGUUAAGUCCGACUUUAGCUCAGGUCAUGAUUUCAUGGUUCGUGAGUUCAAGCCCCGCUGUCAGAGCAGGGUCUGCUUCAAAUCCUCUGUCCCCUUCUCUCUCUGCCCCUCCCCCUCUCGUGCUCUCCCUCUCCCUCUCUCAAAAAUAAAUAGACAUUAAUAAAUACAGAAAUUAAUUUCAAACGGAUUUGGAUUUUCAGAUUAGAAGAUAAUACAAGAUAGUAUCAUCCCGACACUGGGACAGAUGAUUUUUAAAACAAGACAAGGUGACUAUCUACUCUAAAGAAAAAGACUAAUAGAUUCGCUCCUCCCCCAUCGAUGCCCAACUAUCCAUGCACUGUUAAAUGAAAAGAGCACUCUAGCCUAUAUGAUCUUACAGAGCCAUGGCUACUGUAUCUGCUCAGCUUGUGGAGUGAUCAGACAAAGUGGCCACAGGAGAUGAAUGCGGUUGCCCCACUCAGCGGUCAGCAGUUACUUUCUUUUGCUCGAACUUGUCUUCUCUCGCUGAGCUGAGUGAUGCAAACAGUAUAAUAAUUGGGCUUAUGCUAGAGUUUCUAGCCAAUCACUCAGAGUGGAGUCUAGUACUGAAGGUCAGUUUAAGGGUUCCCAGAUGCAGCUAAGCAUAUGAAAAAAGAGAAGUGGGUCAGUCUAAGGUGGUGUCUGGGAUCUAUGUCUCAACCACACCCCUUAACAUGAUUCUAAAUGUUGGACUCUCCAUUCUCAACAGACCACAUGUUGUUUUUUUUUAAUUGUUCUUUAAUGUUUAUUUAUUUUUGAGAGAGAGAGAGAGAGAGAGCGAGCAUGAGCGGGAGAGGGGCAGAAAGAGAGAGAGGGAGACACAGAAUCCUUAGCAGGCUCCAGGCUCUGAGAUGUCAGCACAGAGCCAGACUCGGAGCUCAAACUCAUGAACUGUGAGAUCAUGACCUGAGCCAAAGUCAGACGCUCAACUGACUGAGCCACCCAAGUGCCCCCAGACCACGUUUUUAAAGGGCACUGUCUACAGAACUCUCGGAGAGGAUGUGAAUGUUGAAUGGGGUGUGGAUGAAAGUCUUUUUCUCUUCACAGUCCUCUGCUUAAUGGCCCUCUACUACCCCACUCUUUUUUCUCAGUGUACCUUCCAUAUUCCUGCCUAAUGCCAAGAGGACGAUUCAGGGCUGGACUGGGGUGUACCUACCUGUAACCACAAGCCCCAGGGCAUCACUGGGGGCUGACCACACAUAAGGGCUGCCACUGUACCAACCAUAGCACCUGUAGUUCCCUGAGAAGUUGUGGUUCACAGGGCCUAGAAUAAAGUUGCCUUGGUGUACCCCAUUUUGGUGCUGUGACAGGGUGGCUCCUCCUUCUUUGGUCAGUGAAAAUCUAUCAAAUGGGAUGUCUGUUGAGCUGCACUGCAGGGAAAUAUUCUCUCCCAGCAUCACCACCAUGCUCUGCACUGCUGAGAGGGAGGGUUUGUCAUACAAGCCUUAAAGAAAAGAGAGUGAGCUAUUAGCAAGAUUUUUCAUCCUUUUCCCUUUAUCCUCAACACUCAUGUUGGGUCCAUCCUAAGGGAAGGCAAGAUGCUGAUAUUCCUUGAUUCAAAGGAAUGGAAGCUGGGAACUUCUCAUUUUCCUACCCCAGGACAUAUACUCUGUCCCAAAUUAUUGCAGACGGGGCUGAGCAAACAAGCAGCCUGUGAGACUUGGGUGAGAUACAAUUUUCAAGAGAUAGAGAUCUUGUUUCUAAAGCCACAAGACCCACGUGAUUCUGUUCCCAAUUACAACCUGUGGGGCUUUCCCCCACACCACCAGGAAAUUCUGAGACACCCGCUGGGCAUCCCAUAAUUCAACUUAAUUCUGACAUUAUCUCCCUGGAGAUAACGUCAGAUCCCAUAGGUUAGGAGCUCAGUCCUAUGAGACCACCCCCACUUCAGAUGCCAAUCACAAGCCCUUGCUGUCACCUGUGCUUCUGACGGAAUGGCUAUAAAUCAGAAGUUCCCAGAACUCCUUCCUUGGGUUCGCUUAAUCUGCUAGAAUGGCUUAUAGGACUCAGGAAAUCAGUUUACCCACUAGAUCACUGGUUUAUUCUAAAGGAUGAAAUCAGGGACAGCCAAAUGGUAGAGAUAAAUAAGGCCCAGGUGCCAUAUCCUUGUGCCCUGCUCUACCAGUACCUCCUUGUGCUUACCAACCUGGAUUCUCUCCUUUCGGGUUCUUAUGGAGGCUUCAUUACAUAGGCAUGAUUGAUUGAACCUUUGGCCAUUGGUGAUUGAUUCAGUCUCCAGCCCCUCUCCUCUCCUUGGAGGUAGUCCAAAAGUUAUCUCUUUGACAUAACCUCAGGAGUGGUCAAAAGGGGGUUGUUAGGAAUAGCAAAACAUCUUUGCCAUUCAUAUAACUCAGGAAAUUCCAAGGGAUUUAGGAGCUCUGUGCCAGGAACAGGAAUGAAGACCAUAUAUAUAGUUCUUACUAUAAAUCACAAUAUCACAAGCCACAUGUUAAGGAAAAGGGCGGAUAGUAUCCAAAGAGUUUGAGGAGCUAUGUCAGGGACAGAGAGAGUCGACAUUAUGUAAAAAGAAUGUCAGCAGGUAGAAAUUCAGGGUGGACUCUUCUAGAAAAAAGAUGCUUCUAGAAGCACAGGGUCAAGCCACCUUGAAGAGAGAGAGGGCUUAAAACCAAGGGCUGGAUUCAUGCAGGGAACAUAGGGAGCAUAACUAUCUCACCUGCCUCAGGUACAGGCUGCAUAUAGUGAUCUCCUUCCAUAUGGAAAGGGUUGGGAGAGAAACCUGCCUAUGCCACCUCAGCCAGGUGCUCAAUCUCAGCAUCAACAGCCAUAUUCAUUUGCAUGGUAUGUACCCUCAGUGUGAUGUGGUGAAAAUGUCACUGUGCUUCUGUGGUCUCCCUCACAAUGAUCCAACGACCCCAGCAACUUCCAGACAACUUCCAAUAUUGGGACAUUCUACAAAAUACCUGACCAGCACUCCUUAAAACUUCCACAGCCAAGAGGAACCUAAGCAGACAUGAUAACUCUAUACAGCGUGGGAUAGGAUCCUGGGACAGAUGGACUCUGGAUAAAAGCUAAGGAAAUCUAAAUAAACUGCGGACUUCAGUGCAUGCUAAGUUAUCCAUAUUGGUUCAUUAAUAGGAAGAAAAGUCCGUACUAAUGGAAGAUGUUAACAGCAGGGGAGAGUGGGUGACAGGUCUAUGGGAAUGCCUUUGUCUUAUCUUCUCAACUUUUCUGUAAGCCCAAACUGUCCUAAAAGUAAAGCCUUUGAAAGAAUAAGAAAGAAACAACACCCAAGGGCUGGAGACGCUGGAUGUGUCCUCACCUGUCACCACCAGCUCCAGGGUUUUGCUGUGCUCCGAUAAUUUGUACUCUUUCCUAUAUUGGCACUGAUAACGUCCUGCAGUGUUGGUAUUCAUGUGACUAAUGAGGAAUUCAGCCUUCUCCUGAAAUCCCAAUUUCUUCUCUACCACCUCAAAUGUGGGGUUUCUCAGGAUUUCCAGUUGGUACAAGUAAGACUCAGGAGUCCCCCAACACAGGAUCUUCACAGACUCAUUCCAGGGAAUCACAGAACCAGGUGUGGCAGAUAUAAUAGGAAUGGGAAAAUACCCUGGAAGAAAAUAGAGCCCAGAGUUAGGUGCCAGCCAUGGAGAAACUAUAGUGCUUUUCUUCUCUGUGGGGGAAAUGCAAAUAAGUUAAGGUCUGAAAGACCCAGGAUUCCUUCCUUUUUAAAAUCUUUUCUUUUCUUUUCUUUUUUUUUUUUUUUGGUAUAUUUCAAUUGUAGUAAAAUAUAUAUAACAUAAAA
rnacentral:lncRNA from 1 species